rnacentral:rRNA from 1 species
GACGUAGGGGGCAAGCGUUGUCCGGAAUCAUUGGGCGUAAAGCGCUCGUAGGCGGAUCGGUAAGUCUGCAAAGAAAGACCGGCUGCACUCGGACGGUAGUGGUGAUACUACCGAUCUUGAGGCAAUCAGAGGAUGAUGGAAUUCCCGGUGUAGCGGUGAAAUGCGUAGAUAUCCGCAGGAACAUCCGAGGCGAAAGCGGCUCGCUGGAUCACAACUGACGCUGAGGGACGAAAGCUAGGGGAGCAAACAGG